AAAAGCAUAAGAGGCUUGAAAAGUAACCUUGAGAUAGAUAUCCAUGGCCCUAUAGAGACCAUCAUCACAUGAUCGAGCAUUUUCUGGCAAGGAUUCAGCAAGAACCUGAAAUUUUGUGAUGGAAAGAUUUGGAUCCCUUGCUAUUUCAGCUAAGUAAUUGUCCAAUAGCUUACUAACAUUUGUUUUCCCCAUUUGUUGCUGUUGUUGUUGUUGUUCAUGCAGCAAGAAAUAGUCCAAAAUCCUUUGCACCACAUCUAUGUUGUGCAUUGUUCGCUGCUCAGGCGAACUGUUGAGGGAGUUAUAUGAACAGGAAAUCAGUCUAAUUUCAUGGUUACAAAGGGAACUUCUCUUUUGGAGAUUUUCUUUUUGGAUUAAAGUUCUAAAUUAGACAAUCUACAAUUGAGCAUCAUUCCAAUUCUCUUUUCAAGAUCUGAUAUCAGAGCUGGUGACGCGGAAUAUACCAUGGCUGUUUUCAGCAUCUGCAACAAGAACUUACAUGAAACAGCUUCAUAUUGAGACGGAAGGUUUCACAAGAUUUGAGGACAGUAAUAGUGUCUUUCCAGGAAGCCAGGACUACAAACGUGAGAAAAGCUUCUGUCUUGGCUAUGAG